CAAGAAAGAAAGCUGAAUUAUCCAGUAAUUACUGGAAAAGUGGGGGUUAUUUCCAGUUUCCGUUCCCAUUACACUGUUUCAUGUCCUAUUCCAUUCCCUGUUCAAAUCCUGUUUAAAUUACAAAUAGAUUUACAAAUACACAGUGACGUAGAAUAGAUUG